rnacentral:rRNA from 1 species
GACGAACGCUGGCGGCGUGCUUAACACAUGCAAGUCGAGCGGUAAGGCCCUUUCGGGGUACGACGAGCGGCGAACGGGUAGGAGUAACAACGUGGGUGGACCUCGCCCUCCAGCUCUGGGAGUAAGACCUCGGGAAACCGGGGUACCGUAAUAACUGGAGUAUGACUCCACUGACGCAUGUUUGGUUGGGGUGGGAAAGACCUU